GGCGCUAUAGUGUAGUGGUUAUCACUCGAGAUUUUGACGUUAUGUAAAUUUCUCGGAACCCAGGUUCGAUCCCUGGUAGUGCCU
rfam:Hebeloma cylindrosporum h7 unplaced genomic scaffold scaffold_20, whole genome shotgun sequence.